rnacentral:rRNA from 1 species
UACGUAGGGUGCAAGCGUUAAUCGGAAUUACUGGGCGUAAAGCGUGCGCAGGCGGUUAUUCAAGUCAGAUGUGAAAUCCCCGGGCUCAACCUGGGAACUGCAUUUGUGACUGCAUGGCUAGAGUACGGUAGAGGGGGAUGGAAUUCCGCGUGUAGCAGUGAAAUGCGUAGAUAUGCGGAGGAACACCGAUGGCGAAGGCAAUCCCCUGGACCUGUACUGACGCUCAUGCACGAAAGCGUGGGGAGCAAACAGG